UUUGAUCUCAGCACACAGGCUGUUAUGUACUCUUUCACACUCAACUUUUUUUUUUUUUACAGCGUUAUAGGCAGCAGGACUGGAGGACUCCAGGUCACAGACGAGGACAGCUGAAGGAGAUCACAUGGGCUAGAAUGAAGCCAACCCUUACCUCACCCCUCAGAACCACUCAUGACUAUCUCAGGAGGUGAAGAAGCUGGGAUAUGCUCCCCUGAUCUCUCCCUCUGGGCUAGAAUGCUGAUGCCAGGGGCUGGAAAUGCAACUAUAAGAAGUUCUCGUGUUGGAUGUAGACUUUUUCCUCCAUUACUUUAUUUAUUCAUGUACCUGGUUGCAGCCCCCUCUCCUUCCAGCAUCUUCUCAUACAGCUCAUCUCCUUCUUCUCUGAGAAGAGAAAGGCCCCACCCAACCCCUGUGUACCAACCUACCCUGGCACAUGAGGUCACUGCAGGAUCAGGCACAUCCUCUCCCACUGAGGCCACCUAGUUAGGGGAACAGGAUCCACAGGCAGGUAACAGAAUCAGGGUAAGCCCCUGCUCCAGUUGUUGGGGGACCCACAUGAAGACCAAACUACACAUCUGCUACAUAAACGUAGAGGGUCUAAGUCCAGCCCUCAUAUGUUCUUGGUUGGUGGUUUAGUUUCUGGAAGCCCCCAAGGGACCAAGUGAGUUGACUCUGUUGGUCUUCCUAUGGAGUUCCUAUUCCCUCCAGGUCCCUCAAUCUUUCUCCCAACUCUUCCACAAGAACACUGGCACUUCGUCCAGUGUUUGAAUGUGGACCUCUGCAUCAGCUGCUGGGUGGAGCCUCUCAGAGGACAGUUUUCCUAGUUUGCAAGCAUAACAGAGUAUCAUUAAUAGUGUCAAGGAUUGGUGCUUGCCCAUGGGAUGGGUCUCAAGUAGGGCCAGUCAUUGGUUGGCCAUUUCCUCAGUCUCUGCUCCAUCUUUGGACAUAGAUUUUUAAUCCUCCAGGA
rnacentral:lncRNA from 1 species